rnacentral:miRNA from 1 species
ACAGGAUUUCUCUGGGAGGUUGUUAGAAUGCAGAGUCAGAGACAGGGCCUGAGAUUCUGCCUUUUUAAACAAGCUCCCAAGUGUUGUGGAU